UACGGAGGGGGCGAGCGUUAUUCGGAAUUAUUGGGCGUAAAGGGCGCGUAGGCGGCUUGAUGUGUCAAAGGUGAAAUCCCUCGGCUCAACUGAGGAACUGCCUUUGAAACUGUCUGGCUUGAGGCCGGGAGAGGGUAGCGGAAUUCCCAGUGUAGCGGUGAAAUGCGUAGAUACUGGGAGGAACACCGGUGGCGAAGGCGGCUACCUGGACCGGUUCUGACGCUGAUGCGCGAAAGCGUGGGGAGCGAACAGG
rnacentral:rRNA from 1 species